rnacentral:rRNA from 1 species
UACGAAGGGGGGCUAGCGUUGUUCGGAUUCAUUGGGCGUAAAGGGUGCGUAGGCGGCGCGGUAAGUCGGGUGUGAAAUCUCGGAGCUUAACUCCGAAACUGCAUUCGAUACUGCGGUGCUUGAGGACUGGAGAGGAGACUGGAAUUCAUGGUGUAGCAGUGAAAUGCGUAGAGAUCAUGAGGGAAGACCAGUGGCGAAGGCGGGUCUCUGGACAGUUCCUGACAGCUGAGAACACGAAGGCCAGGGGAGCAAACGG